GCCUGGCUGGCUCAGUCAGAAGAGCAUAUGACUUCUGAUUUCAGGGUCAUGAGUUUGAGCCUCAUGUUGGGUA
rnacentral:tRNA from 1 species